rnacentral:rRNA from 1 species
UACGUAGGGGGCAAGCGUUGUCCGGAUUUACUGGGCGUAAAGCGCGUGUAGGCGGCUUUGUAAGUCUGCUGUGAAAGCUCUCGGCUCAACCGGGAGAGGUCGGUGGAUACUGCCAGGCUUGAGGACGGUAGAGGGGGGUGGAAUUCCCGGUGUAGUGGUGAAAUGCGUAGAGAUCGGGAGGAACACCUGUGGCGAAGGCGGCGCCCUGGGCCGCGACUGACGCUGAUGCGCGAAGGCCAGGGUAGCGAACGGG